rnacentral:antisense_RNA from 1 species
UCCGAGCCACUUACAGGCUCGCUGCUGCUCUGUAAACAGUUGCGACUCGGCAGGGAGCCUGUAAGCAGCUGGGACCCUCAGAAUAUCUGUGUGUCAGCGUACUUUAUUCAUCGGUCAUUGGGUCAGGGGUCUGCAAGGGACAGACUACCCACAGCUGGUGACCCCUCAAGAGGAGCUCUGCCCCCAGCUGGUGCCCCAUGUGAGGCGCUGUGUGAGGAACUGUGCGAGGAAUGCUGUGAAGGAAACGCGACGAACCGCCCGAAAAAGAAGACAGAACAGCAUGUGGAGACUCACAUAGUGAAAUUUUCCUCCAAGAAGUACUGCGUGAACAUACCAGGAAAACCAAAAGAAUUCACAGAACCUUUGAAAGAAGUGGCUUGCCGCUGCAAACUCCAUGAGACAGCUGAAAAACUG